rnacentral:rRNA from 1 species
GAUGAACGCUGGCGGCGUGCCUAAUACAUGCAAGUCGAGCGAACGGACGAGAAGCUUGCUUCUCUGAUGUUAGCGGCGGACGGGUGAGUAACACGUGGAUAACCUACCUAUAAGACUGGGAUAACUUCGGGAAACCGGAGCUAAUACCGGAUGAUAUUUUGAACCGCAUGGUUCAAAAGUGAAAGACGGUCCUGCUGUCACUUAUAGAUGGAUCCGCGCUGCAUUAGCUAGUUGGUAAGGUAAUGGCUUACCAAGGCAACGAUGCAUAGCCGACCUGAGAGGGUGAUCGGCCACACUGGAACUGAGACACGGUCCAGACUCCUACGGGAGGCAGCAGUAGGGAAUCUUCCGCAAUGGGCGAAAGCCUGACGGAGCAACGCCGCGUGAGUGAUGAAGGUCUUCGGAUCGUAAAACUCUGUUAUUAGGGAAGAACAUAUGUGUAAGUAACUGUGCACAUCUUGACGGUACCUAAUCAGAAAGCCACGGCUAACUACGUG